GGCGCCCGCGGUCCAUGGACCGGAACCUCGGGCCGACGGACGGGAACCCGGGCCGCGAUCGCCGCCUCCCCGCCUCAGGCUCCUCCUCCUCGCUCUCCGCCGCCUCCGCCGGACUCCCGCAGGCCCUGCACCGCCGCCGCCAGGCUAGCGGAGCUGCCCCGGGAAGCUGGGUGACGGGUUCGCGGCUGCCGCCGGACUGCGGCCUACUCCGCCGCCUCUCAGUGCUAUUGUCCCUGGGCCUGGCCUUGAGCGGGUCCACUGGGGAAGGCCGUGUGCGCCGGCUCCGCGGAAGAUGCCGGACCAAGCCCUACAGCAGAUGCUGGACAGAAGUUGCUGGGUUUGUUUUGCUACUGAUGAAGAUGAUAGAACAGCUGAAUGGGUGAGACCAUGCAGGUGCAGAGGAUCUACAAAAUGGGUUCACCAGGCCUGUCUACAACGCUGGGUGGAUGAAAAGCAAAGAGGAAACAGUACAGCCAGAGUGGCAUGUCCUCAGUGCAAUGCUGAAUACCUAAUAGUUUUUCCAAAAUUGGGUCCAGUGGUUUACGUCUUGGAUCUUGCAGAUAGACUGAUCUCAAAAGCCUGUCCAUUUGCUGCAGCAGGAAUAAUGGUCGGCUCUAUCUAUUGGACAGCUGUGACUUAUGGAGCAGUGACAGUGAUGCAGGUUCACUAUUUUACCUAUAUAGUGAUAUUACUUGGUGUGAAGAUCUAUUAAAACAUUUUUUGUUAGACAUUUAAAAGUGUAUUAUUUUGAAUAAGAAAUAACAUUCUCAUGUUCUUUCUAAAUGUUAUUUCCCCUACUUUUUCUUUACCC
rnacentral:lncRNA from 1 species